rnacentral:rRNA from 1 species
GACGAACGCUGGCGGCGUGCUUAACACAUGCAAGUCGAACGAAGAGCGAUGGAAGCUUGCUUCUAUCAAUCUUAGUGGCGAACGGGUGAGUAACGCGUAAUCAACCUGCCCUUCAGAGGGGGACAACAGUUGGAAACGACUGCUAAUACCGCAUACGAUCUAAUCUCGGCAUCGAGGAUAGAUGAAAGGUGGCCUCUACAUGUAAGCUAUCACUGAAGGAGGGGAUUGCGUCUGAUUAGCUAGUUGGAGGGGUAACGGCCCACCAAGGCGAUGAUCAGUAGCCGGUCUGAGAGGAUGAACGGCCACAUUGGGACUGGGACACGGCCCAGACUCCUACGGGAGGCAGCAGUGGGGAAUCUUCCGCAAUAGACGAAAGUCUGACGGAGCAACGCCGCGUGAGUGAUGACGGCCUUCGGGUUGUAAAGCUCUGUUAAUCGGGACGAAAGGCCUUCUUGCGAAUAGUGAGAAGGAUUGACGGUACCGGAAUAGAAAGCCACGGCUAACUACGUG